GGAGUAAUCCAGUAAGAUUCCUUGAAGAAGACAAGGUAGAUAGGUUGGGAGUGUAAGCAUCGUAAGGUGUUCAGCGGACCAAUACUAAUAAAUCGAGGGCUUAACUUU
rnacentral:rRNA from 1 species